rnacentral:rRNA from 1 species
CCUACGGGUGGCAGCAGUGGGGAAUAUUGGGCAAUGGGCGCAAGCCUGACCCAGCAACGCCGCGUGAAGGAAGACGGCUCUCCGGUUGUAAACUUCUUUUCUCAGGGACGAAGCAAGUGACGGUACCUGAGGAAUAAGCCACGGCUAACUACGUGCCAGCCGCCGCGGUAAUCCGUAGGUGGCAAGCGUUAUCCGGAUUUACUGGGUGUAAAGGGCGUGUAGGCGGGACUGCAAGUCAGAUGUGAAAACCACGGGCUCAACCUGUGGCCUGCAUUUGAAACUGUAGUUCUUGAGUACUGGAGAGGCAGACGGAAUUCCUGGUGUAGCGGUGAAAUGCGUAGAUAUUAGGAGGAACACCGGUGGCGAAGGCGGUCUGCUGGAGAGCAACUGACGCUGAGGCGCGAAAGCGUGGGGAGCAAACAGGAUUAGAUACCCGAGUAGUC